AUACGUAGGGGGCGAGCGUUGUCCGGAAUGAUUGGGCGUAAAGGGCGCGUAGGCGGCCUGUUAAGUCUGGAGUGAAAGUCCUGUUUUCAAGAUGGGAAUUGCUUUGGAUACUGAUGGGCUUGAGUGCAGGAGAGGUUAUCGGAAUUCCCGGUGUAGCGGUGAAAUGCGUAGAGAUCGGGAGGAACACCAGUGGCGAAGGCGGGUAACUGGACUGCAACUGACGCUGAGGCGCGAAAGUGUGGGGAGCAAACAGGAUUAGAUACCCUGGUA
rnacentral:rRNA from 1 species